rnacentral:rRNA from 1 species
UACACACCGCCCGUCACACCACGAAAGUUUGUUGUACCUGAAGUCGUUGACGCCAACCGCAAGGAGGCAGACGCCCACGGUAUGACCGAUGAUUGGGGGUGAAGUCGUAAACAAGGUACC